rnacentral:rRNA from 1 species
AGUGAACGCUGGCGGUAGGCCUAACACAUGCAAGUCGAACGGCAGCACAGUAAGAGCUUGCUCUUACGGGUGGCGAGUGGCGGACGGGUGAGGAAUACAUCGGAAUCUACUUUUUCGUGGGGGAUAACGUAGGGAAACUUACGCUAAUACCGCAUACGACCUACGGGUGAAAGCAGGGGAUCUUCGGACCUUGCGCGAUUGAAUGAGCCGAUGUCGGAUUAGCUAGUUGGCGGGGUAAAGGCCCACCAAGGCGACGCUCCGUAGCUGGUCUGAGAGGAUGAUCAGCCACACUGGAACUGAGACACGGUCCAGACUCCUACGGGAGGCAGCAGUGGGGAAUAUUGGACAAUGGGCGCAAGCCUGAUCCAGCCAUGCCGCGUAGGUGAAGAAGGCCUUCGGGUUGUAAAGCCCUUUUGUUGGGAAAGAAAAGCAGCAGGUUAAUACCCCGCUGUUCUGACGGUACCCAAAGAAUAAGCACCGGCUAACUUCGUG